rnacentral:rRNA from 1 species
AUUGAACGCUGGCGGCAGGCUUAACACAUGCAAGUCGAGCGGAGAUGAGGUGCUUGCACCUUAUCUUAGCGGCGGACGGGUGAGUAAUGCUUAGGAAUCUGCCUAUUAGUGGGGGACGACAUUCCGAAAGGAAUGCUAAUACCGCAUACGCCCUACGGGGGAAAGCAGGGGAUCUUCGGACCUUGCGCUAAUAGAUGAGCCUAAGUCGGAUUAGCUAGUUGGUGGGGUAAAGGCCUACCAAGGCGACGAUCUGUAGCGGGUCUGAGAGGAUGAUCCGCCACACUGGGACUGAGACACGGCCCAGACUCCUACGGGAGGCAGCAGUGGGGAAUAUUGGACAAUGGGCGGAAGCCUGAUCCAGCCAUGCCGCGUGUGUGAAGAAGGCCUUUUGGUUGUAAGCACUUUAAGCGAGGAGGAGGCUACCUGGAUUAAUACUCUAGGAUAGUGGACGUUACUCGCAGAAUAAGCACCGGCUAACUCUGUGCCAGCCGCCGCUGUAACAC